rnacentral:rRNA from 1 species
UACGUAGGGUGCAAGCGUUGUCCGGAAUUAUUGGGCGUAAAGAGCUCGUAGGCGGUCUGUCGCGUCUGCUGUGAAAAUCCAGGGCUCAACCCUGGACCUGCAGUGGGUACGGGCAGACUAGAGUGCGGUAGGGGAGAUCGGAAUUCCUGGUGUAGCGGUGAAAUGCGUAGAUAUCAGGAGGAACACCGGUGGCGAAGGCGGCUAUCUGGACAGAGUCUGACGCUGAGGCGCGAAAGCUAGGGGAGCAAACAGG